rnacentral:rRNA from 1 species
AGAGUUUGAUCCUGGCUCAGGACGAACGCUUGCGGCGUGCCUAAGAAAUGCAAGUCGAACGGGUGGCAGCGAUGUCACCAGUGGCGAACGGUCGCGUAACACGUAAGCAACCUGCCCGGAAGUGGGGGAUAACAGUCCGAAAGGUCUGCUAAUACCGCAUGUGGUCAAGGGGGGGCAUCUCCCCUUGUCUAAAGAUUUAUUGCUUCCGGAUGGGCUUGCGGCCUAUCAGGUAGUUGGUGGGGUAACGGCCUACCAAGCCGACGACGGGUAGCUGGUCUGAGAGGACGAUCAGCCGGAUUGGGACUGAGAUACGGCCCAGACUCCUACGGGGGGCAGCAAUUAGGAAUCUUGCGCAAUGGGGGCAACCCUGACGCAGCGACGCCGCGUGCGGGACGAAGGCAUUCGUGUCGUAAACCGCUUUUGUGGGGGAAGAAGAAUGUGACGGUACCCCACGAAUAAGCCCCGGCUAACUACGUGCCAGCCGCCGCGGUAAUAC